GCAGAUUUCAGCUCUUCCUGAUGAUUAGAUGCUUGUCUUCACUUGUGAACUGAUGGAGAUAUUCCAGCUAUUAUUGCUGAACUGUUGAAGGUUUGUUUGUCUGUGGGAAGUGCUU